CCUACGGGAGGCAGCAGUGAGGAAUAUUGGUCAAUGGACGAGAGUCUGAACCAGCCAAGUAGCGUGAAGGAUGACUGCCCUAUGGGUUGUAAACUUCUUUUAUAUGGGAAUAAAACGUUCCACGUGUGGGAUUUUGUAUGUACCAUAUGAAUAAGGAUCGGCUAACUCCGUGCCAGCAGCCGCGGUAAUACGGAGGAUCCGAGCGUUAUCCGGAUUUAUUGGGUUUAAAGGGAGCGUAGGUGGAUUGUUAAGUCAGUUGUGAAAGUUUGCGGCUCAACCGUAAAAUUGCAGUUGAAACUGGCAGUCUUGAGUACAGUAGAGGUGGGCGGAAUUCGUGGUGUAGCGGUGAAAUGCUUAGAUAUCGCGAAGAACUCCGAUUGCGAAGGCAGUUCACUGGACUGCAACUGACACUGAGGCUCGAAAGUGUGGGUAUCAAACAGGAUUAGAUACCCGAGUAGUC
rnacentral:rRNA from 1 species